CCCGCACAAGCGGUGGAGUAUGUGGUUUAAUUCGAUGCAACGCGAAGAACCUUACCUGGUCUUGACAUCCCGGAGACCCUUAGGAAACUAGGGGUGCUUCCAUCUGGAAGAAUCUGGAGACAGGUGGUGCAUGGUUGUCGUCAGCUCGUGUCGUGAGAUGUUGGGUUAAGUCCCGCAACGAGCGCAACCCUUGUGUUUAGUUGCAAACAGGUCAAGCUGUGCACUCUAGACAGACUGCCGUGGACAACACGGAGGAAGGUGGGGAUGACGUCAAAUCAUCAUGCCCCUUAUGAUCUGGGCUACACACGUGCUACAAUGGCCGGUACAACGGGCAGCGAAGGAGCGAUCCGGAGCGAAUCCUAAAAAGCCGGUCCCAGUUCGGAUUGCAGGCUGAAACUCGCCUACAUGAAGUUGGAGUUGCCAGUAAUCGCGAAUCAGAAUGUCGCGGUGAAUGCGUUCCCGGGUCUU
rnacentral:rRNA from 1 species